rnacentral:rRNA from 1 species
CAGUCGCCACGGGAAUACAGAGGGUGCGAGCGUUAAUCGGAUUUACUGGGCGUAAAGCGUGCGUAGGGGGCUUCUUAAGUCGGAUGUGAAAUCCCUGAGCUUAACUUAGGAAUUGCAUUCGAUACUGGGAAGCUAGAGUAUGGGAGAGGAUGGUAGAAUUCCAGGUGUAGCGGUGAAAUGCGUAGAGAUCUGGAGGAAUACCGAUGGCGAAGGCAGCCAUCUGGCCUAAUACUGACGCUGAGGUACGAAAGCAUGGGGAGCAAACAGGAUUAGAUACCCCUGUAGUCCCUGUCUCUUAUAC